rnacentral:tRNA from 1 species
AGGGGGCUAGUCUAAAAUAAGACCUCUGAUUUCGGCUCAGAGGAUCGUGGUUAAAGUCCAUGGUCCCCUU